rnacentral:rRNA from 1 species
CUAAGCCAUGCGAGUCAUUGUAGCAAUACAAGGCAGACGGCUCAGUAACGCGUAGUCAAUCUACCCUAUGGACGGGAAUAACCUCGGGAAACUGAGAAUAAUGCCCGAUAGAACAUUAUGCCUGGAAUGGUUUAUGUUUCAAAUGAUUUAUCGCCAUAGGAUGGGACUGCGGCCUAUCAGUUUGUUGGUGAGGUAAUGGCCCACCAAGACUAUUACAGGUACGGGCUCUGAGAGGAGUAGCCCGGAGAUGGGUACUGAGACACGGACCCAGGCCCUAUGGGGCGCAGCAGGCGAGAAAACUUUGCAAUGUGCGAAAGCACGACAAGGUUAAUCCGAGUGGUUUCUGCUAAAGAAACCUUUUGUCAGUCCUAGAAACACUGACGAAUAAGGGGUGGGCAAGUUCUGGUGUCAGCCGCCGCGGUAAAACCAGCACCUCAAGUGGUCAGGAUGAUUAUUGGGCCUAAAGCAUCCGUAGCUCGUUUUGUAAGUUUUCGGUUAAAUCCAUGCGCUUAACGUAUGGGCUGCCGGGAAUACUGCAUAACUAGGAAGUGGGAGAGGUAGACGGUACUCGGUAGGAAGGGGUAAAAUCCUUUGAUCUAUUGAUGACCACCUGUGGCGAAGGCGGUCUACCAGAACACGUUCGACGGUGAGGGAUGAAAGCUGGGGGAGCAAACCGGAUUAGAUACCCGGGUAGUCCCAGCUGUAAACUAUGCAAACUCAGUGAUGCAUUGGCUUGUGGCCAAUGCAGUGCUGCAGGGAAGCCGUUAAGUUUGCCGCCUGGGAAGUACGUACGCAAGUAUGAAACUUAAAGGAAUUGGCGGGGGAGCACCACAAGGGGUGAAGCCUGCGGUUCAAUUGGAGUCAACGCCAGAAAUCUUACCCGGAGAGACAGCAGAAUGAAGGUCAAGCUGAAGACUUUACCAGACAAGCUGAGAGGAGGUGCAUGGCCA